CGCGUAGGCGGAGAGAUAAGUCAGAUGUGAAAUCCCGGGGCUCAACCCCGGAACUGCAUUUGAAACUAUCUUUCUAGAGGGUUGGCGGAGAAAACGGAGUUCCACAAGUAGCGGUGAAAUGCGUAGAUAUGUGGAAGAACACCAGUGGCGAAGGCGGUUUUCUAGCUUACACCUGACGCUGAGGCGCGAAAGCAAGGGGAUCAAACA
rnacentral:rRNA from 1 species